AGAGUUUGAUCAUGGCUCAGAUUGAACGCUGGCGGCAGGCCUAACACAUGCAAGUCGAGCGGUAGCACAGAGAGCUUGCUCUCGGGUGACGAGCGGCGGACGGGUGAGUAAUGUCUGGGAAACUGCCUGAUGGAGGGGGAUAACUACUGGAAACGGUAGCUAAUACCGCAUAAUGUCGCAAGACCAAAGUGGGGGACCUUCGGGCCUCAUGCCAUCAGAUGUGCCCAGAUGGGAUUAGCUAGUAGGUGGGGUAACGGCUCACCUAGGCGACGAUCCCUAGCUGGUCUGAGAGGAUGACCAGCCACACUGGAACUGAGACACGGUCCAGACUCCUACGGGAGGCAGCAGUGGGGAAUAUUGCACAAUGGGCGCAAGCCUGAUGCAGCCAUGCCGCGUGUGUGAAGAAGGCCUUCGGGUUGUAAAGCACUUUCAGCGGGGAGGAAGGCGNCGAUUGACGUUACCCGCAGAAGAAGCACCGGCUAACUCCGUGCCAGCAGCCGCGGUAAUACGGAGGGUGCAAGCGUUAAUCGGAAUUACUGGGCGUAAAGCGCACGCAGGCGGUCUGUCAAGUCGGAUGUGAAAUCCCCGGGCUCAACCUGGGAACUGCAUUCGAAACUGGCAGGCUAGAGUCUUGUAGAGGGGGGUAGAAUUCCAGGUGUAGCGGUGAAAUGCGUAGAGAUCUGGAGGAAUACCGGUGGCGAAGGCGGCCCCCUGGACAAAGACUGACGCUCAGGUGCGAAAGCGUGGGGAGCAAACAGGAUUAGAUACCCUGGUAGUCCACGCCGUAAACGAUGUCGAUUUGGAGGUUGUGCCCUUGAGGCGUGGCUUCCGGAGCUAACGCGUUAAAUCGACCGCCUGGGGAGUACGGCCGCAAGGUUAAAACUCAAAUGAAUUGACGGGGGCCCGCACAAGCGGUGGAGCAUGUGGUUUAAUUCGAUGCAACGCGAAGAACCUUACCUGGUCUUGACAUCCACAGAACUUUCCAGAGAUGGAUNGGUGCCUUCGGGAACUGUGAGACAGGUGCUGCAUGGCUGUCGUCAGCUCGUGUUGUGAAAUGUUGGGUUAAGUCCCGCAACGAGCGCAACCCUUAUCCUUUGUUGCCAGCGGUCCGGCCGGGAACUCAAAGGAGACUGCCAGUGAUAAACUGGAGGAAGGUGGGGAUGACGUCAAGUCAUCAUGGCCCUUACGACCAGGGCUACACACGUGCUACAAUGGCAUAUACAAAGAGAAGCGACCUCGCGAGAGCAAGCGGACCUCAUAAAGUAUGUCGUAGUCCGGAUUGGAGUCUGCAACUCGACUCCAUGAAGUCGGAAUCGCUAGUAAUCGUAGAUCAGAAUGCUACGGUGAAUACGUUCCCGGGCCUUGUACACACCGCCCGUCACACCAUGGGAGUGGGUUGCAAAAGAAGUAGGUAGCUUAACCUUCGGGAGGGCGCUUACCACUUUGUGAUUCAUGACUGGGGUGAAGUCGUAACAAGGUAACCGUAGGGGAACCUGCGGUUG
rnacentral:rRNA from 2 species